rnacentral:rRNA from 1 species
UACGAAGGGGGCGAGCGUUGUUCGGAUUUACUGGGCGUAAAGGGCGCGCAGGCGGCGAUCUUUGUCAGGCGUGAAAGCCCCGGGCUUAACCUGGGAACUGCGCUUGGGACGGGAUUGCUGGAGACCGGGAGAGGAGAGUGGAAUUCCCAGUGUAGAGGUGAAAUUCGUAGAUAUUGGGAAGAACACCGGUGGCGAAGGCGGCUACCUGGACCGGUACUGACGCUGAUGCGCGAAAGCGUGGGGAGCAAACGGG